rnacentral:rRNA from 1 species
UACGUAGGGGGCAAGCGUUGUCCGGAUUCAUUGGGCGUAAAGAGCGUGUAGGCGGCCAGGUAGGUCGGUUGUGAAAACUGGAGGCUCAACCUUCAGAGGUCGACCGAAACCAUCUGGCUAGAGUCCGGGAGAGGAGAGUGGAAUUCUUGGUGUAGCGGUGAAAUGCGCAGAUAUCAGGAAGAACACCCGUGGCGAAAGCGGCUCUCUGGAACGGUACUGACGCUGAGACGCGAAAGCGUGGGGAGCGAACAGG